AAAAAUUGACACCGUAACUUCGGGAGAAGGUGUGCCGCUGGCGGUUAGUGACUUCGCGUCACGAAGCUGUCGGUGGUCGCAGUGAAAUGGCGGAUGUGACUGUUUACUAAAAACACAGGACUCUGCGAAGUCGUGAGACGACGUAUAGGGUCUGAUGCCUGCCCGGUGCUGGAAGGUUAAGGGGAUAUGUCAGCGCAAGCGAAGCAUUGAACCGAAGCCCCAGUAAACGGCGGCCGUAACGAUAACGGUCCUAAGGUAGCGAAAUUCCUUGUCGGGUAAGUUCCGACCUGCACGAGGGCAUAACAACAUCCGCACUGUCUCGACCAGGGACUCAGCGAAAUUACAUUGGGGGUGAAGAUGCCCUCUACCCGCGGAAAGACGGAAAGACCCCAUGAACCUUUACUGCAACUUGGCAGUGAUUUUCGGGUUGUUCUGCGUAGGAUAGGUGGGAGGCUUUGAAGCCGGGCUUCCGGGUUCGGCAGAGCCAACGUUGAAAUACCACCCUGAAUAAUCUGGAAAUCUAACCUGCGCCCAUGAUCUGGGCGAGGGACACUGCCUGGUGGGCAGUUUGACUGGGGCGGUCGCCUCCUAAAUUGUAACGGAGGCGUGCGACGGUUCCCUCAGGCUGAUUGGAAACCAGCCGUAGAGUGCAAACGCAUAAGGGAGCUUUACUGCGAGACUGACAAGUCGAACAGUUGCGAAAGCAGGUGUUAGUGAUCCGGUGGUACCACAUGGAAGGGCCAUCGCUCAUCGGAUAAAAGGUACUCUGGGGAUAACAGGCUGAUCGCGCCUGAGAGUUCACAUCGGCGGCGCGGUUUGGCACCUCGAUGUCGGCUCAUCGCAUCCUGGGGCUGGAGCAGGUCCCAAGGGUUUGGCUGUUCGCCAAUUAAAGCGGUACGCGAGCUGGGUUUAAAACGUCGUGAGACAGUUUGGUCCCUAUCUUCCGUGGGCGCAGGACACUUGAGAGGAGCUAUCCAUAGUACGAGAGGACCUGGAUGGACGAACCUCUGGUGCUCCGGUUGUCACGCCAGUGGCAUAGCCGGGUAGCCAUGUUCGGAACAGAUAACCGCUGAAGGCAUAUAAGCGGGAAGCUGGCCUCAAGACUAGGUGUCCCUGACGCAAGUCACUAAAGGCCCCUCGAAGACUACGAGGUUGAUAGGCUCGGUGUGGAAGCGCUGCGAGGCGUGGAGCUAACGAGUACUAAUAGGCCGUGCGACUUGACCCC
rnacentral:rRNA from 1 species